rnacentral:lncRNA from 1 species
CUCAUGAGUCGACUCAUGCCUUGAGAGUCGACUCAUGAGUCGACUCACAUGUUGUGCCAAGCCAAAAAUUCUGCAUGCCAAACUGCUCAUUGUGCCAUGAGCUGACUCAUGGGUCGACUCAUGGAUUUCAAACAUGCAUAACUUCAAAAAUACAAGUCCAAAAAUAAUAAAAUUUUUGCCAAUAGAUCACAAAUCUUUUGUUCUACCAAAUG